rnacentral:rRNA from 1 species
AGCGAACGCUGGCGGCAGGCUUAACACAUGCAAGUCGAACGGGCGUAGCAAUACGUCAGUGGCAGACGGGUGAGUAACGCGUGGGAACGUACCUUUUGGUUCGGAACAACCCAGGGAAACUUGGGCUAAUACCGGAUAAGCCCUUACGGGGAAAGAUUUAUCGCCGAAAGAUCGGCCCGCGUCUGAUUAGCUAGUUGGUGAGGUAAUGGCUCACCAAGGCGACGAUCAGUAGCUGGUCUGAGAGGAUGAUCAGCAUCACUGGGACUGAGACACGGCCCAGACUCCUACGGGAGGCAGCAGUGGGGAAUAUUGGACAAUGGGCGCAAGCCUGAUCCAGCCAUGCCGCGUGGAUGAUGAAGGCCUUAGGGUUGUAAAGUCCUUUUAGCGGGGAAGAUAAUGACGGUACCCGCAGAAAAGACCCCGGCUAACUUCGUGCCAGCCGCCGCCGUAAG